CCAGACCCUGCGCGGCCUGCCGGCGGCUGGCGACCUCCCUUCCCCUCCCGAGGCGCCCGAGCCUCUGAUCCCCUCCCGGGGCGCCUGUGGCCUCCCUUCCCCUCCCGGGGCGCCCGAGCCUCUGAUCCCCUCCCGGGGCGCCUGUGGCCUCCCUUCCCCUCCUGGGGCGCCUGUGACCUCCCGUCCCCUCCCGCGGCUCCCGCGGCCUCCGACCUCCUGCCGGGGCGCCUCAAGGGCCCCUGCCCCACAUCAGAGGGUCUUGCGGUUUCCUGGUUUGGUUCAACAUCUCUGAAACCCAGAGGUGAAGAAGAAACCAUGGAGGAGAAUCCGAAACAGUCUUCCAGAUCAGACCUCUAAAAUAACUAAAUUCUUGUUAAUCAUUAGAUUCUCCCUUUUAUUUAAUGUGUAAGUCCAAGGGGAUUCCUUCUGCUUCCCCAUUCAAUUAGACAGCAACCUCUUCCUCUAAAGUUCUCUCAUCUGAAGCCAUCUGAGCAGGAGCACUUUGACCAACUCAAUUCUGCUCUGAUCUGGACUACUUCUCCCAGUUUAGGGAUCAGUAAAUUGCCAAACACUUCCCAAUUUAUCCCUGAAGGAAUCCCUGAAAAAUGAUGGCCUUUAUUCUCCCUCAGAGAGGGAGCUUGAGCUCUUGAGAAAGACAUGAAGGCCCUUGCCGCUGUCGGCAUCACUCCUUCCUCCCUAAUCCGGUCAGUUAAUUGCUGAGUGCUCGCUUCCUGAUCUGCGUGAUGGCCUCGGAACCGGGCUGCGUGUAGACCUGGGUGACUAUCAGCUCAGCUCCCAAGUGGAGGGCCUCGGAAGACGCUCUGUGCGGCCUACUAACAAGCACGAGGUAAC
rnacentral:lncRNA from 1 species